GGCGGGCAUGCCUGUCCGAGCGUCA
rnacentral:ncRNA from 2 species